rnacentral:rRNA from 1 species
GGGGGCCAUCAUACGCGGAGAGAGUCAUUACAGAGAUCAUGCCCUCACGGGUAGACCUCCCACCCUGUGUAAUUUACUCUUGUUGCUUUGGCAGGCCGCCUUCGGGCUCCCGGCUUCGGCUGGGGUGCGCCUGCCAGAGGACCUCAACUCUAUGUUUUAGUGUCGUCUGAGUACUAUAUAAUAAGUUAAAACUUUCAACAACGGAUCUCUUGGUUCUGGCAUCGAUGAAGAACGCAGCGAAAUGCGAUAAGUAAUGUGAAUUGCAGAAUUCAGUGAAUCAUCGAAUCUUUGAACGCACAUUGCGCCCCUUGGUAUUCCGGGGGGCAUGCCUGUUCGAGCGUCAUUUCAACCCUCAAGCUCAGCUUGGUCUUGGGCCCUGCCGGUAAAACGGCUGGCCUUAAAAGCAGUGGCGGUGCUAUCGAGCUCUACGCGUAGUAAUAAAACCCUCGCGACGGAGACUGGAUGGACGCUGGCCAGCAACCCCAACUUUUCUAUGGUUGACCUCGGAUCAGGUAGGGAUACCCGCUGAACUUAAGCAUAUCAAUAAGCCGGGAGGAA